GCCAGGUGUGGUUUUGCGCACCUGUAGUCCUAGCUACUUGGGAGGCUGAGGUGGGAGAAUCGCUUGAGCCUGGGAGUUCCAGGCUGCAGUGAGCUGUGACUGUACCUCUCCACACUCCAGCCUGGGCAACAGAGUGAGACCCUGCCUCUU
ensembl:misc_RNA Metazoa_SRP Metazoan signal recognition particle RNA